GAUAAUCGUCACUGGUGUUGGCCACCACCACAAUUACCACCAUGAGCACCCUGUGUCUCACCUGGAUGUCUGGCUCUGUCUGCGGCAUGUCCCCGAAGUGCUGGCUGAUGCAUCCGUGGUAUCGGGGCUCCAACUUUGAGAACCAGCGCUCGGCACAGCAGAGCCACACGUGCCGUGCUGUAGCCAUCCCGGGCUGACCUCUCCGUGACCUGGAAACGACGUCCGCCCACGGCGCUCACGAGGGAGCGGCCGUCUGGGUACAGGUGCACACCCCGCACCUCUAGCAUGCAGCCCACAUCCGCGAACCUGACCCACAGCACACAUGGGGGGCACACACUUCGAAUGAGACGAAUCAGCCAAAUAAAAUCGAAUCUCAAUUUCAUCUGAGCUUCAAAAUCUGAAUAUAACUGAACCUAAAUCUUUAUUGCUUGAACUUAAAAAGCACAACAACUAAAUACAUUAUAAAAUAUAAUAUACAGGGGGCACACACGUAACACUAACACACACUCUAAGAGCACACACAAUAACCAAAGCACAAAUAAACUAAGAGACAUGGGGUCGCAGAGGGACAGCAAAGACAGACAAGAUGGUGCGAGUGAUGCCAAGAAGAGAAGAAGCACUGUGAACAGCAACAAUGCAAAGUUAAUAAACUAAUUAAAAGGGGGCAUGAAUACGCAAGGUUAGGGUUAGCGUGAGUGGUCAGAUUCGUGCUGGAGGCUGACUGGCUGGGUUCUUGGGCCAAGAUAGACCCCGUGUUUGGUUGGCGAAUGCACACUUACCUGUUUGCCCCUCCCCAAAUCGGCAAAUUAUGGCAUUUUGCGGUGUUUGCCAGAUUUCGGUGUAGUUGUUGUAGAGCAUGGUGUGGCUCGCUCACCCGUGCUGCUGGUCCCAGGCGCACAUGCCGAAUGAGCGAGUUCCAUCACGGAUGCAGCGGCGCAGCAUGAGGCGGUAGCGCGCCUCAAACACGUGCAGGGGGCACGGCACCCAGGGGAAUGCCACGGUGCACACAAAUAUCGGCACCUCACUGCAUAGUACCACACACACCUUGUCAACACGGCAUGCAGGGGAACAACCACGGUAAACACAAAAACCGGCACCUUGCUGCACCGGAAUAUACACACCCCCUCAACACGACGCACACACUACACCACACAGGACAUCAACAAUGCACCCAGAGGAAGGUUAUGGUGUACGCACACACCGGCACCUCGCUGCUUGCACCGCACGGCCAAACCCCCACAUCAACACAGCACGCACACCACACACCGCACGACACUCAGGGGGAAUGCCACAUUCAUUCCUGUAUUCCCAUGUGUCCCAGUCUGUGCAACGCACCCGGCCAUCUCCUUCCGCUCCUCCGCAUUCUGUCGCUCUCUCUCUCGCCUCUCCUCAGCCAGGAAGUGAACCAUCACCCCUUCCAGACAUGCGUUGCGGGUGAACACGGCACGCGCCAAGAACUGCACACAGGAACACACACACACCACAUUUACACACUGCCCGUAACUGUAAAUUUGUGUCAUUCCCCCAUAUAGCCAACAGCCUCCCCACAUCCACCAUGGCUCCCUGAAUAUGUCCUUGUCCUCAUAUAUGUCCCUCUGUCUCAACGUGUGCCCUGAGCCUGUAUGUCCCCUUGUGUCCCUCCUUGUGUUCCUGUGAGUUUCCAUAUGUUUCAUUGUCUUCAUAUCCAAAAAUCUCUCUAGAAAUCUUGACUUUAAGCUUUCGUGACUGCAGGAAUUCAUCCUCUUUGGGUCUUUCGGUAAAGUCACGUAGAUAGAAAAAUAAAAAAAAUAAAUCACGACGGUUCGAUCGCAACACAAGCAAUCGUCCUCAGGUGAGGACGAUCUAUCUACGUGACUUUACCGGAAGAACCAAAAAGUAUGAAUCCCUCUACAAACCCUCUCAUGUCCCCGGUUUCACACAAUGUGCUCCCCUUUGUUUUCCAGUGUCACACUGACCAUGUCCCCCUUAUAUUCCCCAUGUCCCUGUGUCCCUCUUGUCCCAUGAACUCUUUGUUACUCAUAUUCCCCCUGCCCCGUGUCCGCCGAUCACCCCCGAUCAUUUCCGUGUCCCCCACUGUCCCGGGUCCCCAUGUUCCCGAUGUCUCCGUGUCCCCCAUGCCCACCUCCACGAGCCCCUCCUUGCAGAGUGGGCACUGAUGCCGGUGGUCGAGGCUACGCUCAAGGCAGGCGGUGCAGAACGUGUGGCCGCACGGUGUCGUCACGGGCUCCCACAGUAGCCU